GGGGAGUGAAACACAAAUAGCCUGCUCGCAAGUCGCUUCCACCCAACUGAAAUGACGACGAAUCUCCACAAAUGGAGAGUCAGUCCCUCUGAGCCUCCUCCGUCGCUACGACGUCAUUUCCAGUCGGCUAUUGCACGAAGGCCCGGACAUCGUGAAAGAACUCCCAGACGGACACGUGGUAAAGAAAGAGAAACACUUGGACGACGAAGAGGAGGAGCUUCUGAAUCGGCGGCGACUGACCACCACGCGCCGUGAGGGUGAAAGAAACAAUAUAUAUGGUGGGAUUGAGGAUGGCUUUGAAAGCUCAAGGGAUGCAAUUUCAUCCAUUUCAUCAUACAAUCCGAUGAAUGUUAACAGAACCUUUGGAACUUCAUUAUCAUUGCAAUCAGCUAGGUCCUUAAACAGAUACAUAUCUCGAAGGAGAAUGCACAAGUCUAUCUUCAAAUCUGGCACUUCCACUGUGCUACACUUCUGAAGUCAUGUAUGAUACUGUUGCUGUUCUAAGAUGUUUACAGCUUCCUUAUCAUGACAUCACUCUAGAAGCUGCAUGGCCUGAGCUAUUCAUUGACCAUAAAGGACAAUAUUGGGAUGUUUCGGAGUCAAUUUCCUUAGAUCUGUCAUCACUUGUUUCUGAAUCUGGAUAAAAUUAGUGGCCAUCGCCAGGCAGUUAAUGCCGUAAAUGAUGAAGCACCUACUUCUCUGAUGCCUGGAUUGUGUGCAAAAGCUGCCUUUUCUUCUGCGAAGAGGAGAGAACUUUGGAGACAGAAGGAAACACAGAAUGAUCUCAUGGUAAACAAAGAUGGGGUUGUUUUUGGUGGCCGUCAUAUGAUGUGCGACUCAAAGAACCUCAUGCUGCAGUAUCUGGAAUUUUUGGUUGUGGGGCUAAUUGUCUUCCGAGUGGUUCAAGGGUUUCACUUGCCUCUUUGCCUGGCAAACGUGGCCCACAUAUUGAGGAUUUCAUUUACAGCUUGAGCUACUCUUUGAGGCUUCUACAGUCAGGCAGGGUCGUUGCUUGGUUUUCCCUGGAAAGAAAGAAGGAAUGAUUGAUUGCGGUACGUGUUUCAGUUUUAACUCCUUGUUUUGUCUUGGUAUGAUUCGAAGCCUAUUUCUAAGAGGAACUUAGACAGUAGAAAGUGAAAGAAGCUUCUCUAGUGCCUUUUAGUCCUUAUGAGUUC